AACGAACGCUGGCGGCGCGUCUUAAGCAUGCAAGUCGAACGGUAACACGGGGCAACCUGGUGACGAGUGGCGAACGGGUGAGUAACGCGUAGGUGAUCUGCCUUUUGGUUGGGGAUAUACCGUGGAAACACGGGGUAAUACCGAAUAAGUUCCUCUGGUUUGGACUGGGGGAGGAAAGGGGCUACGGCCUCGCCGAAAGAUGAGCCUGCGUUUGAUUAGCUAGUUGGUGAGGUAACUGCUCACCAAGGCGACGAUCAAUAGCCGGCCUGAGAGGGUAGUCGGCCACACUGGGACUGAGAUACGGCCCAGACUCCUACGGGAGGCAGCAGCUAAGAAUCUUCCACAAUGGACGAAAGUCUGAUGGAGCGACGCCGCGUGGGUGAUGAAGGCGGAAACGUUGUAAAGCCCUUUUAUAGGCGAGGAACCAGAUUCGGAGGGAAUGCCGAGUCCUUGACGGUAGCCUGUGAAUAAGCCCCGGCUAAUUACGUGCCAGCAGCCGCGGUAA
rnacentral:rRNA from 1 species